GAUGAACGUUGGCGGCGUGGAUUAGGCAUGCGAGUCGCGCGAGAAUGUAGCAAUACAGGAAAGCGGCGAAAGGGAGAGGAAUAGGUGGGAAUCUGCCCCUGGAUCGGGGAUAGCUACGGGAAACUGUAGGUAAUACCCGAUAACGUCUUCGGACCAAAGGUGUGAUUCCGUCUGGGGAUGAGCCCACCUCCUAUUAGCUUGUUGGCGGUGUAAUAGACCACCAAGGCAUUGAUGGGUAGCUGGUGUGAGAGCACGACCAGCCUCACUGGUACUGGGACACUGGCUAGACACCUGCAGGUGGCUGCAGUCGAGAAUCGUCGGCAAGCGACGAAAGUCUUACCGGGCGACGCCGCGUUCGGGAUGAAGGCCUUCGGGUUGUAAACCGCUGUCGUAGGGGAUCAAAUGGAUCGGGGUUCUCCCCGAUAUUCGAGAGAUCCUAGGAGGAAGGAGAGGCUAAGCUCGUGC
rnacentral:rRNA from 1 species